UGCGGGAUAGCUCGGUUGGUAGAGCAUGAGAUUCUUAGUCUCAGGGCCAUAGGUUUGAGCCCCACAUUGGGCAA